rnacentral:rRNA from 1 species
CCUACGGGUGGCAGCAGUGAGGAAUAUUGGUCAAUGGGCGCGAGCCUGAACCAGCCAAGUAGCGUGAAGGAUGACUGCCCUCCGGGUUGUAAACUUCUUUUAUAAAGGAAUAAAGUGAGUCACGUGUGCCUUUUUGCAUGUACCUUAUGAAUAAGGACCGGCUAAUUCCGUGCCAGCAGCCGCGGUAAUACGGAGGAUCCGAGCGUUAUCCGGAUUUAUUGGGUUUAAAGGGAGCGUAGAUGGGUUGUUAAGUUGGUUGUGAAAGUUUGCGGCUCAACCGGAGAAUUGCAGUGGAUACUGGCAGGCUUGAGUACGGUUGAGGUAGGCGGAAUUCGUGGUGUAGCGGUGAAAUGCUUAGAUAUCACGAAGAACUCCGAUUGCGAAGGCAGCUUACUGAACUGCCACUGACGCUGAUGCUCGAAAGUGUGGGUAUCGAACAGGAUUAGAUACCCGAGUAGUC